UACGGAGGAUCCGAGCGUUAUCCGGAUUUAUUGGGUUUAAAGGGUGCGUAGGUGGCCUGUUAAGUCAGGGGUGAAAGACGGUAGCUCAACUAUCGCAGUGCCCUUGAUACUGAUGGGCUUGAAUGAACUAGAGGUAGGCGGAAUGUGACAAGUAGCAGUGAAAUGCAUAGAUAUGUCACAGAACACCAAUUGCGAAGGCAGCUCACUACCCGAAUAUUGACUCUGAGGCACGAAAGCGUGGGGAUCAAACAGG
rnacentral:rRNA from 1 species